AUGUAUGUGGCUUCACAUAAAUUCCCUUGUAAUCCCACCCUAAGAAGAAAAUGGGAAAGAGCAUUGAGAAGAGUUAAUUUUAAAGCAACUGAUUAUUGUAGGUUAUGUACUAAGCACUUCAAAGUUACAGAUUUUGAAACAAUUUCUAAGGUAACUGGUUUCCCACUUCAGCGGAAAUUUUUAAAGAAAUCUGCAGUACCAACACUGUUCUCUUGGAACAGUGCGUCAGGUCAAGACACUUCUGCACGAGCUGAACGUUUGAAUAGAAGAAAUGUUAAGAGUUGCCUCAUACCCAGCACUGUGACAGAAAAUUAUGAAUCUGUAGUUGACAACAACACUGCUAUGGCUCUGACUAAUGAUUCAACUGACCAAGGCUACGCUCAUGAGGUUGAAAUUUCAAGUAUCAGUGAUGAAAAUAGUGAAAGGUAGUUCACUCUACAGUGUCAGUGUAAAUCAACCAACGCAAACAUCAACUUUUUGCAGAAUAUUUGUUCUUGAAAAUUUUAUGGUAGAUGAUAAGGCAAUCCAUUUCUAUAGUGGUUUAGACCUAGACCAGAGAAACUGACCUAAAAUAAAAAUCCAGUUUCUACCAACACAUACGGUGCCUUUCAAUGGAAUCACACCCAACCAAAAUUAACCCCAGAAAAUAUCUGAUUAUGGCUGAUAGCCGAUUGCAGAUGAACAAGAACACAAAAAAAAAAAAUAAUAAUGUUUGAGAAAAUUAUGAUAAUUUUAAAUUAGUGUUGAGUAUUUUAUGCCCUAUGGCAUACAGCGUAAAGUAUAAGGGAAGUCAAGUUAUCAAUAGAAAAAAAGCACGGGAAGUGUUGAAAUAGGCGGGCGCCAUUCUUUGGCUAAACUUUUUAAAGUUAAAUUAAUUUAAUAUUACAGGAUCAGUUAAGUUGUAAAGUGUAUAUAUUAGUAGUUAUUGUUGAUUGUUUAUAUUUUUAGUUUGUUUUCUUCACCUGGUACAAUUAGUACCUAUAAUUUUCUUCAUUUGGUAGUAAUUUCAUUGUAUUAUAUGUAGAUAGGAUUUUUCUUUUGGCGUCCAUGUUGCGAGCCCAAAGACCCUGGAGGGACAUUCCUCCAGGUGUCUCAUGUAGUCACAAUCGAUGCGUCGGGCAUGGAAACGGAAGAUACCAUUAUAGAUACAGACUGUUCGGAAAGCACGAAAUCCGUUAAAAGAAAGAGAAUCUCACUUAGAAACCAAAAGAAGAGAAGGAAUCACAGACCUACGGGUUUAUCAGAUUGCCAAAUUUCCCCUAAAAAUUUAAAAGACAAUGUUUUUGCUAAAGCGCUUGAGUCUGAUGAUAAAAGCACUGAAAUCCACCAUAAUGAGGCUGCUCACUCUAAUAAUAUUUCAAGUAACCCUCGCGCUGUUAGAUCGCUUUACUAGGCGUCAGACCCUGCGCCUUAUGUUGUCCAUGUCCAAAAAUCCUAAGAAACAAAUCAACCCAGAUCUAUUCACCCAGUACAAUUUGGAUUUUUCCUUAAAUAAAGUUUUAUUAAAAGCAUUGUAGAGGGAAGCAUCCAAAAAAUUGGAAGGAACCGAUUGUCUAUAGUCUAUACAAUUUGAAACAUUUCAGGAUGCUAACACAUUUUUAAACCACAAAUCUCUUGACCUUAAUAAAUACAAGGCAUUUAUUCCGGCCUUCACUAUCACCCGCAUAGGAAUAGUGACAGGUGUUCCAUGUGACUGGGAAGAGAAAGACAUUAUGGAAAAUAUUGAGCUUCCCCAGAAGUGUGAUAGCAUUUUGAAAGUUAGGAGAUUAAAUAGAAAAGUAUAUGACGGCUAGACCCCAAAGUUCAUUCCAAGAGAGACUGUAGUUUUAACCUUUGAUUGGAAAGUGUUACCUCCCAGGGUUUUUAUAUGUUUGAACUCCUUAUCUGUAGAGCUUUACAUUUACCCUACACUGCAAUGCUUUAAUUGCUGCCUUUUGGUCACACCAAAAUGCAAUGUAGAGGCACUCUAAGAAACACUCGAAGAACCAUUCAGGUAUAAACUGCAAGACUGAAAGAGAUGAGGCUGUGUGUAUCUUAUGUUCUGGUUACCAUUUCGCAACAGA